UGGGGAAUAUUGCACAAUGGGGAAACCCUGAUGCAGCGAUGCCGCGUGGAGGAAGAAGGUUUUCGGAUUGUAAACUCCUGUCUUAAAGGACGAUAAUGACGGUACUUUAGGAGGAAGCUCCGGCUAACUACGUGCCAGCAGCCGCGGUAAUACGUAGGGAGCGAGCGUUGUCCGGAAUUACUGGGUGUAAAGGGAGCGUAGGCGGGACGGCAAGUCAGAUGUGAAAUACAUGGGCUCAACCCAUGGGCUGCAUUUGAAACUGCUGUUCUUGAGUGAAGUAGAGGUAAGCGGAAUUCCUGGUGUAGCGGUGAAAUGCGUAGAUAUCAGGAGGAACACCGGUGGCGAAGGCGGCUUACUGGGCUUUUACUGACGCUGAGGCUCGAAAGCGUGGGGAGCAAACAGGAUUAGAUACCCUGGUAGU
rnacentral:rRNA from 1 species